UACGGGGGGGCAAGCGUUGUUCGGAAUUACUGGGCGUAAAGGCUCGUAGGCGGCCAACUAAGUCCGACGUGAAAUCCCCAGGCUUAACCUGGGAACUGCAUCCGAUACUGGAUGGCUUGAAUCCGGGAGAGGGAUGCAGAAUUCCAGGUGUAGCGGUGAAAUGCGUAGAUAUCUGGAGGAACACCGGUGGCGAAGGCGGCGUUCUGGAGCUGCAACUGACACUGAUGAACGAAAGCCAGGGAGCAAACGGG
rnacentral:rRNA from 1 species